UGUCUCCUCCAACUCUCCUUGAAUUGGAUUUCAACCCGCUAGCCGCAAGGCAAGCGGGUUUUUUUUC
rnacentral:ncRNA from 1 species